rnacentral:rRNA from 1 species
UACGGAGGGUGCAAGCGUUAAUCGGAAUUACUGGGCGUAAAGCGUGCGUAGGUGGUUCGCUAAGUCCGUUGUGAAAGCCCCGAGCUCAACUUGGGAAUUGCAGUGGAUACUGGCGAGCUGGAGUGCGGUAGAGGAAGGUGGAAUUCCCGGUGUAGCGGUGAAAUGCGUAGAGAUCGGGAGGAACACCAGUGGCGAAGGCGGCCUUCUGGACCAGCACUGACACUCAAGCACGAAAGCGUGGGGAGCAAACAGG